ACCCUAGAUACAUCCAAUCUCACAGCAGAGACGAUGAUGGAGAGGGCGAAGUGGGAAAUCAUUCACAUGCCAGAAAAGCCACCUGUUUCACCCACCAAUCAACCCACUGUGGAUGUGCUUGCUUCAGUGAUUGAUCCUAAGCUCGCCAACACACUUGUAAGGCGAUUAAAUCAAAUAGCACCGCUGGAAAAUUUCCGCCAUGUGAAACGGAUACAAAAGAAGCACAUGCAGGGAGGAAAAACACAGUUAGCCAUAAUCUUAUGUUUAGCUUCUGAAAAUGAAAAUCCACUGGACGGCAUACCAAAUGAUGUACUCGAGCUAAUCAAUUCCUACCAGUUGAGUGCUUUCAUUACAAAAGUUUGCAAAUAUGCUGCAUUAUCGAAAGAAGAGUGGGAAGAACAAUGCAAGCUAUGGCCAACAUCAUAUCAUCCACCAACCUACAAUAUUGAGGGCAUUACUGGAUUUAGUGAAGAGGAUUCACAAUCAGUUUUCAGCUUCAUGAAAUCUGCUGUUAAGUUGGCAAAAUCAGAUGAUGGUCAGGUAGUAAAUGCUGCAGUGAUAGUGGAUCCAUCAGUUAAACAGAUAAUUGUGAGUGCAUGUGAUGAAAUCUGCUCUUGGCACACCCCCAUGGACAAGACUAGUGUGGAAGCCAGUUGCCUUGAACAGCCAGACAUUGCUACUUCCCAAGGUGUUGUCAAUGGAGUAGUGAGCCAUGAAACUCUGCUUUCAAAAGGUCCACCUGAUGAACCCAAACAAUCAUAUACUGGUGUUUCUUGUUUAUAUCCUUGGCGAUGGGCUGAACAUCAAUCACAUGCAAGUUCUUAUUGGCAUCCUUUGCGUCAUGCGGCCGUUGUUGCUAUUGAGUAUUCAGCUGCCAGGGACAGGCGCCUUUUCCCUGGUUUGGGACAGAUUGGCAAUCAGUCUAACCAACUGGAUCAUACGCUAUCAGCUUCCAUAAGCUCUCAGGCAAAACGACAAAAGACCAAUCUUAAAAAGGUUGAGGAUGUUGAGAAACUGGAUGCUCAUUGCAAUGGGUUUCAUUCUGAUGCAGCCAGGCCUUAUCUGUGCACUGGUUAUGACAUUUAUCUUGUUUGGGAGCCAUGUGCCAUGUGUGCAAUGGCGCUGGUCCAUCAAAGAAUUAGGCGUAUCUUCUACGCUUUUCCAAAUCCCAAUGCAGGUGCACUGGGCAGUGUUCAUAGACUUCAAGGGGAGAAAAGCUUAAAUCAUCACUAUGCUGUUUUCAGAGUUUCGUUGCCUGAAGAAAUCCUUGAUGGAGGGGUAAAACUUUAGUUGCAGCAACAUUUAUGAAUUACCCAAACACAACUAUCAGCUUUUAAACAGGGUUUGUUUUGGCUGCGCAUUAUGGUUAACCUGGGACCCCUCCAGCUUAUUGAUGCAUUUUUAGCCUGGGAAGAAAUCUGAUCUUUGAUCCUAGCGUGGCUCUUAACUAUGGCUGCUGUAAGCCCUUCAAGAUAAACCGGGUAUACAAUCAUUCAGACACCCAGAAGAGAUUUUUUUUCUGACUGUUUUGGUGAAUAUGGCUCUGGAUGAUCCAUUGAAAACAAACCAUUUGCAGAGAACCUCCAUUCCAGAGCCAAGAGAGUUGUUGACAGAGGGCAUUCUGAGGGUUUUUAGCCUUUUUCUUGGUUCAAUAUUUUGGGAAUUGCCUUCCCAUGGCACUUUGUUCACUCUGUUGUAAUAUCUAUCUCACCCCAGAAAUCCAAAAGAUAGAAAAGAUGAAAGAAAAAUUUAGUCCAGAAUGAGAUAGAUGGUCCAAGCUGUGCAGCUGGUAACCCUUACAAGUGACUCACAUAUGAUCCAGGGUGAUUUCGAUCAUGGUUUUGCAGUGAGCGCUUUGCCAAAAUGUUGGACACCCCCUAUGUUGCCACCACUAGAAGGUAAAACAUGACUGUAUUUGAGACAAUGUUACACAGUCCAUAUAUCGGCUGAAUAAGAUUAAAGUGAAAUAGCUAUGAAAGAUGUUGUGAUGUGAAAGUGACUAGGAGUUCACUUGGGACUGA